CCCUUAGAUGUUCUGGGCCGCACGCGCGCUACACUGAUGCAUUCAGCGAGUCCAUCCUUGCCCGAAAGGGCUGGGUAAUCUUUUGAAAUUGCAUCGUGAUGGGGCUUGCGGGUUGCAACUACCCGCACCAACGAGGAAUUCCUAGUAAACGCAAGUCAACAACUUGCAUUGAUUACGUCCCUGCCCUUUGUACACACCGCCCGUCGCUCCUACCGAUUGAACGGUUUAGUGAGGGCCUCGGAUUGGUCUCGGCCCGCUCUUUACCGGGCGGCGCCGUUGGUCGAGAAGACGCUCGAACUUGAUCGUUUAGAGGAAGUAAAAGUCGUAACA
rnacentral:rRNA from 1 species